rnacentral:rRNA from 1 species
UGGGGAAUCUUGCGCAAUGGGCGAAAGCCUGACGCAGCGACGCCGCGUGGGGGAUGAAGCUUCUCGGAGUGUAAACCCCUUUCGACCGGGACGAAACGCCCGCAAGGGCUUGACGGUACCGGUAUAAGAAGCCCCGGCUAACUACGUGCCAGCAGCCGCGGUAAGACGUAGGGGGCCAGCGUUGCUCGGAAUUACUGGGCGUAAAGGGUUCGUAGGCGGUGCGGUAAGUCGGAAGUGAAAUCUCUGGGCUUAACCCAGAGGCUGCUUUCGAAACUGCCGUGCUAGAGUGCGGGAGAGGCGAGUGGAAUUGCAGGUGUAGCGGUGAAAUGCGUAGAUAUCUGCAGGAACACCCGUGGCGAAGGCGGCUCGCUGGACCGCAACUGACGCUGAGGAACGAAAGCUAGGGGAGCAAACAGGAUUAGAUACCCCCGUAGUCC